rnacentral:rRNA from 1 species
CGCGUAGGCGGUUUCGGAAGUUAUGGGUGAAAGCCCCCGGCUCAACUGGGGAAUUGCCUGUAAAACCACGGGACUGGAGUGCUGGAGAGGGAAGUGGAAUUCCCAGUGUAGCGGUGAAAUGCGUAGAUAUUGGGAGGAACACCAGUGGCGAAGGCGGCUUCCUGGACAGACACUGACGCUGAGGCGCGAAAGCCAGGGGAGCAAACG